UUUGCCGCCCACCGCUACACAAGCAAAGAAUAAGGAUCCAUCAACAGGUGGUUGCUCGAUAUUUAUCGAUACAGUGCCAAACGGUCAUAGGUGAUCGGCAAGUUAGUUUUUGUAACUUUCUCUCUCCCUCUUGGACUUUUGGAGGUUUUCCUAUUGGAUCCAAUGUUCGACGCCGGAUUUGUAGAGACAAACACCUCCGAUGCUCAAUUUUGAAUCUAUAGAGAUGACGAUGUCUGAGAGAGACACAGAGAGUAAAGGAAGAGAUGCAGGCCUACCCAAGGGUAGGGAAUCCGAGACAGCGUUAUCCGAUGACUUGAUCGAAGAAGAUAAUUGCAAUUAUCAGAAGGGGAGUUACUUCUUGCAGCCGUUGAACAGGGAGAAGUUACAAGUACAACUGGAAGGGGAAGAGGGUGAAUGCUAUGACUCAGUGUGAUAAGGAGGAACAGCGUGACAAGGCUACCAUUUCAGCAGCUACACCUCGACCAAGAGAGAGAAUCACAAAAGGAAGGAGCAACUUGCAGCCUUGGAUGAUUUUGUUAACGGUUAGAAUUAGCUAAGUCUGAAAAGGACAGAGGAUUGUUAGGGAAUCAAGAAUA